UACGGGGGGGGCGAAGCGUUGUUCGGAAUUACUGGGCGUAAAGCGCACGUAGGCGGCUUUGUAAGUUAGAGGUGAAAGCCCGGGGCUCAACUCCGGAACUGCCUUUAAGACUGCAUCGCUUGAAUCCGGGAGAGGUGAGUGGAAUUCCGAGUGUAGAGGUGAAAUUCGUAGAUAUUCGGAAGAACACCAGUGGCGAAGGCGGCUCACUGGACCGGUAUUGACGCUGAGGUGCGAAAGCGUGGGGAGCAAACAGG
rnacentral:rRNA from 1 species